UGUAACCUCAGGUGAACUUUAUGUACCACUAGCGUAAAACAGUGUAUGAAUACUAUAGCGGUUGUAGAUCGAUUAUUACAAGAUUAUUGUAUUAAAACUAUAUUGUUUGUGAUUGUAAAUUGUACUAAGAUGAUUUUUAUGUUCCGUAAACAUGUUGUUUACGUUCUAAUGUACUUAAUUCUAGCAAUCGGGGAUUAUUUUCGUUCUUGUCAGGCCCGUUC
rnacentral:lncRNA from 1 species